UACAGAGGGGGCAAGCGUUAUUCGGAAUUAUUGGGCGUAAAGGGCGCGUAGGCGGCUCGAUAAGUCUGCUGUGAAAGUCCAGGGCUCAACCCUGGAAGGCCGGUGGAAACUGUCGGGCUAGAGUCCGGAAGAGGCGAGUGGAAUUCCCGGUGUAGCGGUGAAAUGCGCAGAUAUCGGGAGGAACACCAAUGGCGAAGGCAGCUCGCUGGGACGGUACUGACGCUGAGACGCGAAAGCGUGGGAGCAAACAGG
rnacentral:rRNA from 1 species